UUUUUUUUUUUUUUUUUUUGGACAUCUCAGUUAUGUCUUCUUGUGAAAUUAUUAUAAUCUUGUGUCCCAUCUAAAUCAACCUGAGAUGAAUGAGGAACAUGAGUAGUAACGAUUUGUUGUGCUUGUGAUGCGAAUGAUUAUGGAUUGUGGGCAAAAACCUCAGAAUAAACCACUUCCAUACAAAAUCAAAUGGAAAACUAAAAUCUCAAAAUAAAACUGUAAGAGUUGGGAGGGGGUGCGCGUCCAUUUUGUUGACCACAGUUUGAUUCUUGGGUUCAGAGCAAAUAUUUUUCUCAUGAAUCUCAUGGUACUAGCAUCAUUAAUAAUGCCAGUAAACCAAGGACAGCAAUUGUCGACCUUCUUGUGUGGGUUUGCCCUUGAAUUCUUUGGAUCACUUAGGAUAUCUAAUGCUGUUG
rnacentral:misc_RNA from 1 species